GGGGUGUGGCGCAGUUGGCUAGCGCGUAGGUCUCAUAAUCCUGAGGUCGAGAGUUCGAGCCUCUCUCACCCCA
rnacentral:tRNA from 1 species